rnacentral:rRNA from 1 species
GACGAACGCUGGCGGCGUGCUUAACACAUGCAAGUCGAACGGAAAGGCCCUGCUUUUGUGGGGUGCUCGAGUGGCGAACGGGUGAGUAACACGUGAGUAACCUGCCCUUGACUUUGGGAUAACUUCAGGAAACUGGGGCUAAUACCGGAUAGGAGCUCCUGCUGCAUGGUGGGGGUUGGAAAGUUUCGGCGGUUGGGGAUGGACUCGCGGCUUAUCAGCUUGUUGGUGGGGUAGUGGCUUACCAAGGCUUUGACGGGUAGCCGGCCUGAGAGGGUGACCGGCCACGUUGGGACUGAGAUACGGCCCAGACUCCUACGGGAGGCAGCAGUGGGGAAUAUUGCACAAUGGGCGGAAGCCUGAUGCAGCAACGCCGCGUGCGGGAUGACGGCCUUCGGGUUGUAAACCGCUUUCGCCUGUGACGAAGCGUGAGUGACGGUAAUGGGUAAAGAAGCACCGGCUAACUACGUGCCAGCAGCCGCGGUGAUACGUAGGGUGCGAGCGUUGUCCGGAUUUAUUGGGCGUAAAGGGCUCGUAGGUGGUUGAUCGCGUCGGAAGUGUAAUCUUGGGGCUUAACCCUGAGCGUGCUUUCGAUACGGGUUGACUUGAGGAAGGUAGGGGAGAAUGGAAUUCCUGGUGGAGCGGUGGAAUGCGCAGAUAUCAGGAGGAACACCAGUGGCGAAGGCGGUUCUCUGGGCCUUUCCUGACGCUGAGGAGCGAAAGCGUGGGGAGCGAACAGGCUUAGAUACCCUGGUAGUCCACGCUGUAAACGGUGGGUACUAGGUGUGGGGUCCAUUCCACGGGUUCCGUGCCGUAGCUAACGCUUUAAGUACCCCGCCUGGGGAGUACGGCCGCAAGGCUAAAACUCAAAGGAAUUGACGGGGCCCCGCACAAGCGGCGGAGCAUGCGGAUUAAUUCGAUGCAACGCGUAGAACCUUACCUGGGUUUGACAUGGAUCGGGAGUGCUCAGAGAUGGGUGUGCCUCUUUUGGGGUCGGUUCACAGGUGGUGCAUGCCUGUCGUCAGCUCGUGUCGUGAGAUGUUGGGUUAAGUCCCGCAACGAGCGCAACCCUUGUUCACUGUUGCCAGCACGUUAUGGUGGGGACUCAGUGGAGACCGCCGGGGUCAACUCGGAGGAAGGUGGGGAUGACGUCAAGUCCUCAUGCCCCUUAUGUCCAGGGCUUCACGCAUGCUACAAUGGCUGGUACAGAGAGUGGCGAGCCUGUGAGGGUGAGCGAAUCUCGGAAAGCCGGUCUCAGUUCGGAUUGGGGUCUGCAACUCGACCUCAUGAAGUCGGAGUCGCUAGUAAUCGCAGAUCAGCAACGCUGCGGUGAAUACGUUCCCGGG